GACGAACGCUGGCGGCGUGCUUAACACAUGCAAGUCGAACGGAAAGGCCCUGCUUUUGUGGGGUGCUCGAGUGGCGAACGGGUGAGUAACACGUGAGUGACCUGCCCUUGACUUUGGGAUAACUUCAGGAAACUGGGGCUAAUACCGGAUAGGAGCUCCUGCUGCAUGGUGGGGGUUGGAAAGUUUCGGCGGUUGGGGAUGGACUCGCGGCUUAUCAGCUUGUUGGUGGGGUAGUGGCUUACCAAGGCUUUGACGGGUAGCCGGCCUGAGAGGGUGACCGUCCACAUUGGGACUGAGAUACGGCCCAGACUCCUACGGGAGGCAGCAGUGGGGAAUAUUGCACAAUGGGCGGAAGCCUGAUGCAGCAACGCCGCGUGCGGGAUGACGGCCUUCGGGUUGUAAACCGCUUUCGCCUGUGACGAAGCGUGAGUGACGGUAAUGGGUAAAGAAGCACCGGCUAACUACGUG
rnacentral:rRNA from 1 species